rnacentral:lncRNA from 1 species
AAAAAAUCAUUCUAUCUCUCAUUUUUUACAAAAAAUGAAGGAAACUCUCUCAUUCCUUCUCCUAUUUCCUGCCAAGGGGUCCGAUGGCCCUUCGUCGUAGCCCCACCGUAGACGGCGGUCGGAGGGCAUAAAAUCGACCCUUUUUGGCCCCUUUUCGAUUCUCUUUUCCCUUUUUUUACAAAAAAUAAAAUCUCCUUUGAUUUAGAAAUAGAAAAGGAAAUGUUCCGAAAAUACAACAACCCCCAUUUUUCUUGCCUUUCGAACCUGUAUCAGAGCUCUUAUGGGCUUUUGGGUGUUUGGAUAUUGACGACGUUCGACAGAGGGGAAGGCCAAUCGACGGGUAAGAUUUCUAAUACUUAUUUAUUUAUUAAAAAAGAUAAAAAAGGGUUCAUUUUUUCUUUGAAUCUGUUUUCAAUUGCUAUUGAUUGCGUAAAAAAAAUACAAGAUACAUGUGCGACUUUUAUAGCCGAGCAACUAUAAUUUUCAUUUUUUCCUUUUUCUAUACUGUUAUUGUUGCUGUCGUCUUUUUUGUUUGCUUGCAGGUACAGGGUUUGCUAGCUCGUACGGAGGUACGGAGAAGGUACGUGGCGAGGUGGUCAUGGCUGUGGGCGCACGGAGGUCGUACGUGGGGGCGUUGGUUGCGGUGCAAGGGAACCCUAGGGUUCUUGAGAGAGUUUUGAUUUUGGGUUAUUUGGGCCAGGUUUAUUUUGGGCCUAGUGUAAUGGGCAUUUGGAGUGUUAAUUUGGGUUUAAUUUUAUUAUUUUGUUUUUUAUUUAUUUGGUUUUUGGCUCAGGCUAAAAUUAGGCCUUACAGAUGACUAAAAUAUUUUUUUUUUGUAAAC